AUACGUAGGGGGCGAGCGUUGCCCGGAAUGAUUGGGCGUAAAGGGCGCGUAGGCGGCCCGGUAAGUCUGGAGUGAAAGUCCUGUUUUUAAGAUGGGAAUUGCUUUGGAUACUGUCGGGCUUGAGUGCAGGAGAGGUAAGUGGAAUUCCCAGUGUAGCGGUGAAAUGCGUAGAGAUUGGGAGGAACACCAGUGGCGAAGGCGACUUACUGGACUGUAACUGACGCUGAGGCGCGAAAGUGUGGGGAGCAAACAGGAUUAGAUACCCUGGUAGUCCACACUGUAAACGAUGAAUGCUAGGUGUAGGGGGUAUCGACCCCUUCUGUGCCGCAGGCAACACAAUAAGCAUUCCGCCUGGGGAGUACGGCCUCAAGGUUGAAACUCAAAUGAAUGGGCGGGG
rnacentral:rRNA from 1 species